AUACUACACAAGUGUCUCGAUU
rnacentral:miRNA from 1 species